rnacentral:rRNA from 1 species
GACGGGGCCCGCACAAGCGGUGGAGUAUGUGGUUUAAUUCGAUGCAACGCGAAGAACCUUACCUGGUCUUGACAUCCCGGAGACCCUUAGGAAACUAGGGGGUGCUUCCAUCUGGAAGAAUCUGGAGACAGGUGCUGCAUGGCUGUCGUCAGCUCGUGUCGUGAGAUGUUGGGUUAAGUCCCGCAACGAGCGCAACCCUUGCCUUUAGUUGCCAGCAGUUCGGCUGGGCACUCUAAAGGGACUGCCGGUGUUAAACCGGAGGAAGGUGGGGAUGACGUCAAGUCCUCAUGGCCUUUAUGACCAGGGCUACACACGUACUACAAUGGCCGAUACAAAGGGCAGCGACACUGCGAGGUGAAGCCAAUCCCGUAAAAUCGGUCUCAGUCCGGAUUGGAGUCUGCAACUCGACUCCAUGAAGUUGGAAUCGCUAGUAAUCGUGGAUCAGCAUGCCACGGUGAAUACGUUCCCGGGCCUU